rnacentral:lncRNA from 10 species
AUCCAAAGGAUCUCACAGCGUGGUUCCAAUGAAGAUUCUGCUGGUGUUCUAAGAGUAGUAUGUGAUGGAAGAGCUGCCUCAUCACGUAGCAGAUGAAAGCACAGUGGCCUCCGCAAGGUCCAGCCCACUGCAUCAGUGCCAGACUCACACGGAGUACAGAUGCAAUAGCUGGAGCCACAGAAGCCAUAUUGUGACCAUCAGGCACCUUGAACUUGCUGGCCUCGUGCUAAGGCUCUUAGCGCAGAAGAGUCCGGAUAUUUCCUGAUUACUCUGACACAAGAGAAAAAUAAAACCUCAAUUCACUUAAA